rnacentral:rRNA from 1 species
UUUUCAGAAGAAGAGGGAAGACGUAGGGUGCAAGCGUUAAUCGGAAUUACUGGGCGUAAAGCGUGCGCAGGCGGUUUUGUAAGACAGAGGUGAAAUCCCCGGGCUCAACCUGGGAACUGCCUUUGUGACUGCAAGGCUGGAGUGCGGCAGAGGGGGAUGGAAUUCCGCGUGUAGCAGUGAAAUGCGUAGAUAUGCGGAGGAACACCGAUGGCGAAGGCAAUCCCCUGGGCCUGCACUGACGCUCAUGCACGAAAGCGUGGGGAGCAAACAGGAUUAGAUACCCUGGUAGUCCACGCCCUAAACGAUGUCAACUGGUUGUUGGGAAUUUACUUUCUCAGUAACGAAGCUAACGCGUGAAGUUGACCGCCUGGGGAGUACGGCCGCAAGGUUAAAACUCAAAUGAAUUGGCGA